rfam:Gossypium raimondii Chr12_contig_348, whole genome shotgun sequence.
AAGAAAAGAGGCUGUGAAGUUAGCCAAGGUGACUGCCUGACACCAAACAAGGGUUUUAGAGGGAUUAGAAAUUGAAACCUUUAGGAAAGAUGCAGGCAAGUCAUCCUUGGCUACCAAACAGAAAACUCUUUAUCU